CGGUGAAGCAGGAGCUUGCUUCCUUGUGGAUCAGUGGCGAACGGGUGAGUAACACGUGAGCAACCUGCCCCGGACUCUGGGAUAAGCGCUGGAAACGGCGUCUAAUACUGGAUACGAGUAGCGACCGCAUGGUCAGCUAUUGGAAAGAAUUUCGGUCUGGGAUGGGCUCGCGGCCUAUCAGCUUGUUGGUGAGGUAAUGGCUCACCAAGGCGUCGACGGGUAGCCGGCCUGAGAGGGUGACCGGCCACACUGGGACUGAGACACGGCCCAGACUCCUACGGGAGGCAGCAGUGGGGAAUAUUGCACAAUGGGCGCAAGCCUGAUGCAGCAACGCCGCGUGAGGGAUGACGGCCUUCGGGUUGUAAACCUCUUUUAGUAGGGAAGAAGCGAAAGUGACGGUACCUGCAGAAAAAGCGCCGGCUAACUACGUGCCAGCAGCCGCGGUAAUACGUAGGGCGCAAGCGUUAUCCGGAAUUAUUGGGCGUAAAGAGCUCGUAGGCGGUUUGUCGCGUCUGCUGUGAAAUCUGGGGGCUCAACCCCCAGCCUGCAGUGGGUACGGGCAGACUAGAGUGCGGUAGGGGAGAUUGGAAUUCCUGGUGUAGCGGUGGAAUGCGCAGAUAUCAGGAGGAACACCGAUGGCGAAGGCAGAUCUCUGGGCCGUAACUGACGCUGAGGAGCGAAAGGGUGGGGAGCAAACAGGCUUAGAUACCCUGGUAGUCCACCCCGUAAACGUUGGGAACUAGUUGUGGGGUCCAUUCCACGGAUUCCGUGACGCAGCUAACGCAUUAAGUUCUCCGCCUGGUGAGUACGGCCGCAAGGCUGAUACUCACAGGA
rnacentral:rRNA from 1 species